CAAAAUGUAGCUAAAUCAGUAAAGCACCUCCCUUACACCGAGGGGAAAUCCAUGCAACUUGGGUCAUUUUGA
rnacentral:tRNA from 2 species